ensembl:processed_transcript predicted gene 12655
GUCUUUCCCACGUGAUGGACUACAUCCUCACACUGUGAACCAAAGCAAUCCCUCCAUUGAGUUGCUUUUCAGCUUUUUUGUUGGGUUUUGCAAUUCUGAAAAUUCAUCCCAGCCAAACAUUGAGUCAUGCCCCCAGUCCUUCAGUAGCCUUUUGUCACCGGCAGUGAAAAGUGUCUGUCUCCAGAUGGCUCAUUAGACCCAAGAAGCAAUUCUCUUUCAUUUAUAAUAUCUGCAAGUAUUUGAAUUGAUACUGAUAUCUCCAGAUUUUGUUGAAAGCUGCUGUGCAGGUCCCAGCUGUUCCAUGUCUUCAUGGCAGAUCAGAUGUAUGUGGCUGUCUGCAAGCAGAGUGUAAAAGAUGGAACAGAUUGUUUCCUUAGGUGCACACAGGCUGACACUCUGCAGAUGCACACAUGCCAUUGAAAUAAACCACGAGUGUUGUAUGGCUUCCAGAGCCCUGCCUGUGCCUGUACCUCUUCCUCUUCCACUCAAGAACUCCUGUUAGCAGGGUUACAGACAACAUAAGCAAACUCUGGCUAGAAUUUGUUGGAUGAACAGUCAACCUGAAAUUCAGGAGUUGGAGCGGCAAGCAGUUUGAUGCUACAAACUGGAUCUCCAGGGACGUCAGAAGCAGAGUGUUAUGGACCUUUCCUUUGUAAUGCCUAUGCCUUUAUUUCUUUUCUUUAGUGACCUGCUAUCAGUUUUCAGGAAGACAGGGCUGCGUCCUACAGCAUAAACACUGAUAUCAUCCCUUCUCUGUAUUGGGGCACUUCACAGGCCAAAGGGAAUGUUGGGAGAGUAAUAUGUUUUUAAAUUUUUUUUAAAUUGAUGUACUUUAUUUAAAAUGUUAUAUAGUAUAGAAAAACUAAUUGUAGAGACAACAGAUAUUAUUAAUUUAUAAUAC